UGGGGAAUCUUGGACAAUGGGCGCAAGCCUGAUCCAGCCAUGCCGCGUGGAUGAUGAAGGCCUUAGGGUUGUAAAAUCCUUUCGUGGGGGACGAUAAUGACGGUAUCCCAAGAAGAAGCUCCGGCUAACUUCGUGCCAGCAGCCGCGGUAAUACGAAGGGGGCUAGCGUUGUUCGGAAUUACUGGGCGUAAAGCGCACGUAGGCGGAUCAGCAAGUCAGGGGUGAAAUCCCGGGGCUCAACCUCGGAACUGCCUCUGAUACUGCUGGUCUGGAGUCCGGAAGAGGUGGGUGGAAUUCCUAGUGUAGAGGUGAAAUUCGUAGAUAUUAGGAAGAACACCAGUGGCGAAGGCGGCCAACUGGCUCGAUACUGACGCUGAGGUGCGAAAGCGUGGGGAGCAAACAGGAUUAGAUACCCCUGUAGUCCCUGAGCGGGCUGGCAAGGCGCAU
rnacentral:rRNA from 1 species